GAGACUGGGCGAGGGCUGAGCACAGCGCAGAGCAAGCAGGAGCUGGGCAAGCGCGAGCCAGCCGCAGCCCCAUUCUGAAUGCCAGAGACCCUACCCUAGCAGGGGCUGUUCUUUCCUCUUGCCCCCUCCCACCGGGGAAGCGAAGGUGGGCGGAGUCACGAUUCAAGUGUGGGAGUCUCGGGAUUCCAGCUUCCUUCGCGGAUGCCCGCUCUUUCGGCACUCCCCAGCAACCUUUUUCUAAGUCUCCUUCCCUGCCCCACCAGCACCUAACUUGGCCAAUCACGGAGCCCGGACCCUGGGAGAGGGGCUUUUGUCUUUGUGACUUUCCUAGCGGGAGGGGAGUGGAG